CAUGGUUUAGGAGAACAGCCUGAUCUAUUUUUAUGAUCUACAUGAUCAUAUAAACAUAAUUUAUCAAAACAAUUCAUUUUGUAAAUACAGAUCACAACUUCAAACUCAAAGAAAUGUUGUGCCGCUCUUCAAGUCAAGCAAGCAAAACAAAACAAAAGUAAAUUUAGAAAUAAUUUCACUUUAAUGAAUACCAAUUUUUAUAUGCAUAAAUAAACUUAAAUCCUGCCCUGGAAUAAUCUAUGAAAGAAGCAUGGAAAACGCAGUGAAGCUUCCAUGUGAAAGGCUGUAGGUCUCCAUGAAUCUGCUGUUCAUGUCUACUGGAUGAUUGGGCUAACAAAGACUACAGGAACCAGAAUGUCAAGGACAUGAAACUCCAAUGUUUCUCAGUGGAACUGGAAGAAGGCAGAUGGAAAGGAAAACGGCAUCUGAAAAUGUUAUUGCAAAUAACUCCCAUUGCAUAAAUGUGCAAAUAAAGGCAAUAUUUUUUUAA